rnacentral:rRNA from 1 species
GAUGAACGCUAGCUACAGGCUUAACACAUGCAAGUCGAGGGGUAACAAGAGAAAAGCUUGCUUUUCUUGUUGACGACCGGCGCACGGGUGAGUAACGCGUAUCCAACCUGCCUAUAACUAGGGAAUAACCUUGCGAAAGUAAGACUAAUACCCUAUGAUUUCCUUUGAUGACAUCAGAUUAGGAAUAAAGAUUUAUCGGUUAUAGAUGGGGAUGCGUCUGAUUAGCUUGUUGGCGGGGUAACGGCCCACCAAGGCAACGAUCAGUAGGGGUUCUGAGAGGAAGGUCCCCCACAUUGGGACUGAGACACGGUCCAAACUCCUACGGGAGGCAGCAGUGAGGAAUAUUGGUCAAUGGGCGGAAGCCUGAACCAGCCAAGUAGCGUGCAGGAUGACGGCCCUAUGGGUUGUAGACUGCUUUUAUACAGGAAUAAAGUUAGCCACGUGUGGUUAUUUGUAGGUACUGUAUGAAUAAGGACCGGCUAAUUCCGUGCCAGCCGCCGCUGUAA